CCUAUGGGGGGCAGCAGUAAGGAAUAUUGCGCAAUGGACGAAAGUCUGACGCAGCGACGCCGCGUGGGGGAUGAAGGUCUUCGGAUUGUAAACCCCUUUCGGGAGGGAAGAUGGAGUGGGUAACCACUUGGACGGUACCUCCAGAAGCAGCCACGGAUAACUUCGUGCCAGAAGCCGCGGUAAUACGAAGGUGGCAAGCGUUGUUCGGAUUUACUGGGCGUACAGGGAACAUUUCUGACGCUGAGGCUCGAAAGCUAGGGGAGCGAACGGGAUUAGAUACCCCAGUAGUCC
rnacentral:rRNA from 1 species